GCCUUCGUGGUGUAGUAGUCAGCACGCUCGGCGCGUAACCGAGAGGUCCGUGGUUCGAUUCCCGGCGAAGGCG
rnacentral:tRNA from 1 species